UUGAUAUUGGCCACACCAUUAAAAAUCUGUUUACCAUGAUAUCCGAUUGGAUUGGUGCGUGACUAUCUGCCGUUCGGAGUCAGAUUAAGGUCCCUCCGUUUGUGGAACAACAUCAAGACGCACACCACAAAUAGGAGGAGGAACUCGGCCAAACACAAAUAAAGGGUGCACGCCGGCAAUUAUGUUAAAAUUUCCUUCAGCGCGUGCAAUUCGUAUGAGCCUAACCGAAAUUCAACGUCGAGCGUCAAAAUCUAACUGGAUUUCCGACUUGUGUUUUGCGUGACAUUGCAUUUCAGAAAAUAUUUCAGAUGCAACGAAUAACAAAUCACUGAGUGGCACCGCCCGUUUUUCAAAAUUUUACUUUCUUCAUCACUUUUACCAAAUUUAUGUAAUUUUGCUUCGCGACCUCGGCGGUCACCUCCAAAGACCACCAAAUGCAAAUAGUUCCUUACCUAAAGGGUGGGUAAGUUUCAAGGGCCGGUGUUGAUUUUGAAUAAAAUACAAUUAUUUUAGGAAAUUGUUGUCAUUUCUCUUUAUUAUGAUAAUAUUGGUAUAGCUCAAUUACGUACGGAAAAAAAUAUCGGCCUUGGCGGCACACCUCCAUCCAAUGGUCCAAAUUUUCGAUGACGCUGAGGCAUAAUUGAGGUUCUAUGCCGUUAAUGUGCCGAAUUAUUUCACCCUUUAGCUCAUGAAUUGUUGCUGGCUUAUCGACGUACACCUUUUCUUUCAAAUAACCCCAAAGAAAGAAGUCCAACGGUGUCGUUGACGUUUAGGUGUGGUUCACAUUCAACAUCGGCCCUUGAAAUGUAACCACCCUUUAUAUAUGUAUGUACCAAGUUCCAUUGAAAUGUAUUAAUUUUUGCUCGAGCUAUCGUGCGUUCGACAACCAUUCCCACUUAACUUAUCGUGCGCACGGGUGGACGAACAGAAAUUACCAAAUGGACUGCUCUCAUCAUUCUGAGUAUUUUGAUCUAGAAAUAUGUACAUCUAUGUAUAUACAUUUACAACCUUUAUGCGAAAAAGUUAUAACGCCGUUGUGCACAAAUACGCUGGCAUAACAAAUUGAUGGUUAUUGGUAUUUGUGCCAUUGACCUUUCAUUGCUACCUUUGCUACUUAUUAAAUUAAAGCAAAUAUUUGUUGUUGUACUUUGUAGUUUUUUUUUUUUAAUUUUACUCUGUUUAUUGACAAAAUUUUAAACGUCAUUUAUACAUUGGAAUAAUUAAUAUAAUUAAUUUCAUCUUUACACUAACAAAGCUUCAAAUUAUCAAAUUAAGUGCUAUUUUUAAAUUAACUAAAUCAAAUAAAUAUGGAAUUGUAAACGAAAAAACAAUCAA